AUGGACGAAAUGACUUGAGUUUGACUUCGAGCGCUGAUAACCCAUUCAUGGCCUGCUUUAAUACGAGGUCGAACAAGAUUUUGUGAAAAUAACUCCGGAGACACACCAAGCAAAUGACAGAGCUUGUCAAUCUCAUCAGGAUUGAGAAGACGAGCUAUACCAGAGCGAUCAGCACCGACAUCAAUAUUUCCCAUAUGUAGAAUAAUGGAAAGUAUAUUAAAUAAAUCAAAGUUCUCUUUAUCGUCAAAUCCAAGAGUUUUAAAAGCAGCUAAAAGAGUUUUAAACUCUUCUUUAUCGUCAACUCCAUCAAUAAUGUGAACCGAAUCCUUCAAAUAUCGAUAAUCAUUACAGUUAUCGGUUAAAAGAAGUUUGUUCUUGAGAGCAGUAUCAGCACCACUUAAAAGCUGAUAAAAAACAUGGUAGUUUCUUUCAAACUCGUUCUGAUGAACAACGCGAGAUUUUUCAAGAAGAUACCAUUCUAUGGCGGCAUUCGAAAUUUCCCCACUCAAAGAAAACUCAACUUUAAUGAAUUUUCCAAAACGAGAAGAAUUGUUGUUGCGUACGGUACGAGCAUUACCAAAUGAUUCGAGCACAGGAUUCGUUUUAAUGAUCUGCUCUUCAACCUGACUAGAGCCAACGGUAGUCGAGCUAGCAAUUGCUGCAAGAUAUUGGAUGAUUCUUUUGGUAUUCUCUGUUUUACCUGCGCCGGACUCACCAGUUACAAGAAUCGAUUGAUUUUCCUUAUUUUCUAAAAGGUUAUUGUAUGCUAAAUCCGCGAUUGCGAAGACAUGAGGUAGCUUGCGCUCUUGUGUUUUAUCUUUGUACAAUUGAAUGAUGUCCUUCGUAUAGAUUGGUAGUCCACAAUAAGGAUUGACCGCAACGAGAAAGAGCCCAGAAUAGGUAUAAAUUUGAUCAGAGAGAUAUCUCUGUUCAAGAUUGUAUGUGACUGCAGGCUCGUUUAAGUAUGUCAACUCAGCCAUGUCAUUGACUCUAUCAAACUUGGCAGGAUUCACCGGAUCAAUUUCAUCCUCACCAACGAUCUUCUCAUCCCUGGAAUUAUUAUACCGAACAACAUAUUUCUUGUCUGGCAGAUCCUCUUUAAUCCAAGCCUUGGUAAAGGCAGUCUCUGGGUCGGAAAUCCAAACCCAUCGUUUAUCAUCAAUAUCCUUCAGACUAGUUGCACCAUCUUUUGCAGUUAUUUUAUUAGAUAUUACUUCUGUCAUCGGGCUACUCUCUAAGACGGUUAUUUACCGCCUUUCCUGAAAAUAAACAAUGCGGUGUACAAUACCAAAACCUUGUAAAACAAUAAGGAUAGACCAAAAAUCAAAGAGUGAAAAAAUCCAAAAAGAUAGCAAUAGAUAUAUCCGAAAAGAAGGAUCAACAAAUGCACAGAGAAAACGUUAAAGAACUAUGUUGUUGGAUACUUUUUGUACUCCCCGUUGAACGCACAGCAAUUAAUGAUUUAAGCACUUGAACAUUCGAU